ensembl:lncRNA
CUAGGAUCAGGUUUAGGGUUAGGGUUAGGAGCUAGGAUCACGUUUAGGUUGAGGGUUAGGAGCUAGGAUCAGGUUUAGGGUGAGGGUUAGGAGCUAGGAUCAGGUUUAGGGUGAGGAUUUGGAGCUAGGAUCUUUAAGGUUAGGUUUUAGGGUUAGGUUUUAAGGUCAGGUUUUAGGGUUAAAGUUAGGUUUUAAGGUUAAGGUUAGGUUUUAGGGUUAAGGUCAGGUUUUAGGCUUAAGGUCAGGUUUAGGUUUUAUGGUUACGUUUGAAGUUUAAGGUUAGGUUUUAGGUUUAACGUUAGGUUUUAGGGUUAAGGUCAGGUUUUAGGCUUAAGGUCAGGUUUAGGUUUUAUGGUUAAGUUUGAAGUUUAAGGUUAGGUUUUAGGUUUAACGUUAGGUUUUAAAUGGGACUGAAUUGUGUGUCCCCACAAGGUUAGUUAUACAAGACUGUGUGUGUGUGUGUGUGUGUGCCUGUGAAGACUGCAGGGUCUAAUCUUCAGAGAGUAGAUGAAUAGGGGUUAUUAGCCAUGCAGAACACUAAACGAUACAUUUAGAGAUUCUAGAGUUCUGGGAAUGCUUUCUGAUUGGAUAGACAUGGUUUGGAUUCUGAUUGGAUAGACAUGGUUAGUAUUCGGAUUGGAUAGACAGGGUUAGGAUUCGGAUUGGAUAGACAGGGUUAGGAUUCGGAUUGGAUAGACAGGGUUAGGAUUCUGAUUGGAUAGACAGGGUUAGGAUUCGGAUUGGAUAGACAGGGUUAGGAUUCUGAUUGGAUAGACAGGGUUAGGAUUCUGACUGGAUAGACAGGGUUAGGAUUCUGAUUGGAUAGACAGG